GCGCCUGUAGCUCAGCGGAUAGAGCGUCGGACUCCGGAUCCGAAGGUCACAGGUUCAAAUCCUGUCAGGCGUACCA
rnacentral:tRNA from 1 species